rnacentral:rRNA from 1 species
AUAAGCGGAGGAUAAGAAACUAACAAGGAUUCCCCUAGUAACUGCGAGUGAAGCGGGAAAAGCUCAAAUUUAAAAUCUGGUGGUCUUUGGCCAUCCGAGUUGUAAUCUAGAGAAGUGUUAUCCGCGCUGGACCGUGUACAAGUCCCCUGGAAUGGGGCGUCAUAGAGGGUGAGAAUCCCGUCUUUGAACGGACUACCAGGGCUUUGUGAUGCACUCUCAAAGAGUCGAUUGUUUGGGAAUGCAGCUCAAAAUGGGUGGUAAAUUCCAUCUAAAGCUAAAUAUUGGCGAGAGACCGAUAGCGAACAAGUACCGUGAGGGAAAGAUGAAAAGAACUUUGGAAAGAGAGUUAAACAGUACGUAAAUUGUUGAAAGGGAAACGCUUGAAGUCAGUCGCGUCUGCCAGGGAUCAACCUUACUUUUGUGAGGCGUACUUCCUGGUUGAUGGGUCAGCAUCAGUUUUGGUCGCUGGAUAAAGGUCAGAGAAAUGUGGCACCUUCGGGUGUGUUAUAGUCUUUGAUCAGAUACAGUGGCUGGGACUGAGGAACUCAGCGCCGCAAGGCUGUCUUAGGAUGCUGGCAAAAUGGCUUUAAUCGACCCGUCUUGAAACACGGACAAAAGGAG